rnacentral:rRNA from 1 species
GACGAACGCUAGCGGCGUGCUUAACACAUGCAAGUCGAACGAAGUGGCGAACGGGUGAGUAAUACGUGGGUAACCUGCCCUCCUUUUUGGGAGACGCCAUGGGAACGGGGUCUAAUACCGAAUAACGGGGGAUGGGCUCGCGGCUGAUCAGCUUGUUGGGGGGGUGAGGGCCUACCAAGGCGGUGACGGGUAGCCGGCCUGAGAGGGUGACCGGCCAGAGUGGGACUGAGAUACGUCCCAGACUCCUCCGGGAGGCAGCAGUGGGGGAGAUGGCAAAGUGGGCGAAAGCCUGAUGCAGCCAUGCCGCGUGUAUGAAGAAGGCCUUGGGGUUGGAAAGUACUUGCAGCGGGGAGGGGUUACCCGCAGAAGAAGCACCGGCUAACUCCGUGCCAGCAGCCGCGGUAAUAC